GGUACGGGUUGUGAGAGCAAGAGCCCGGAGAUGGAUUCUGAGACACGAAUCCAGGCCCUACGGGGUGCAGCAGGCGCGAAAACUUUACAAUGCUGGCAACAGCGAUAAGGGAACCUCGAGUGCCAGGUUACAAAUCUGGCUGUCGAGAUGCCUAAAAAGCAUUUCAUAGCAAGGGCCGGGCAAGACCGGUGCCAGCCGCCGCGGUAACACCGGCGGCUCGAGUGGUAACCGUUAUUAUUGGGUCUAAAGGGUCUGUAGCCGGCCGGAUAAGUCUCUUGAGAAAUCUGGCAGCUUAACUGUCAGGCUUUCAGGAGAUACUGUCUGGCUCGAGGCCGGGAGAGGUGAGAGGUACUUCAGGGGUAGGGGUGAAAUCUUGUAAUCCUUGAAGGACCACCAGUGGCGAAGGCGUCUCACCAGAACGGACCUGACGGCAAGGGACGAAAGCUAGGGGCACGAACCGGAUUAGAUACCCGGGUAGUCCUAGCCGUAAACGAUACUCGCUAGGUGUCGGCCACGGUGCGACCGUUGUCGGUGCCGUAGGGAAGCCGUGAAGCGA
rnacentral:rRNA from 1 species